rnacentral:rRNA from 1 species
AACGAACGCUGGCGGCGCGUUUUAAGCAUGCAAGUCGAGCGGCAAGGGUAGCAAUACCCUAGAGCGGCGGACGGGUGAGUAACACGUGGACAACCUGCCCUUAGGCGAGGGAUAGCCCAGGGAAACCUGGAUUAAUACCUUAUAAGACCACUGAUAGGAGUAUGAGUGGGGAAAGGUGCUACGGCGCCGCCUGAGGAUGGAUCUGCGUCCCAUUAGCUAGAUGGUAGGGUAAAGGCCUACCAUGGCGACGAUGGGUAGCCGGCCUGAGAGGGUGAACGGCCACACUGGAACUGAGAGACGGUCCAGACUCCUACGGGAGGCAGCAGCUAAGAAUCUUCCGCAAUGGGCGCAAGCCUGACGGAGCGACGCCGCGUGAACGAUGAAGGCCGCAAGGUUGUAAAGUUCUUUUCGGGAAGGAGAAUAAGGGGAGCAGGCAAUGGCUUUCCGAUGCCGUGAAUCCCGGAAUAAGCCCCGGCUAACUACGUG